rnacentral:piRNA from 1 species
UUUUCAUGAUUGAGAGUGCACGAAUGUGUC